AUUGAACGCUGGCGGCAUGCUUUACACAUGCAAGUCGAACGGCAGCGCGGGCUUCGGCCUGGCGGCGAGUGGCGAACGGGUGAGUAAUGCAUCGGAACGUGCCCAGUAGUGGGGGAUAGUCCGGCGAAAGCCGGAUUAAUACCGCAUACGACCUGAGGGUGAAAGCGGGGGACCGAAAGGCCUCGCGCUAUUGGAGCGGCCGAUGUCGGAUUAGCUAGUUGGUGGGGUAAAGGCUUACCAAGGCGACGAUCCGUAGCUGGUCUGAGAGGACGACCAGCCACACUGGGACUGAGACACGGCCCAGACUCCUACGGGAGGCAGCAGUGGGGAAUUUUGGACAAUGGGGGCAACCCUGAUCCAGCCAUGCCGCGUGCGGGAAGAAGGCCUUCGGGUUGUAAACCGCUUUUGUUCGGGAAGAAAUCCUCUGGGCUAAUACCCCGGGGGGAUGACGGUACCGGAAGAAUAAGCACCGGCUAACUACGUG
rnacentral:rRNA from 1 species